rnacentral:rRNA from 1 species
GAGGUUAAGCGACUAAGCGUACACGGUGGAUGCCCUGGCAGUCAGAGGCGAUGAAGGACGUGCUAAUCUGCGAUAAGCGCCGGUAAGGUGAUAUGAACCGUUAUAACCGGCGAUUUCCGAAUGGGGAAACCCAGUGUGACUCGUCACACUAUCAUUAACUGAAUCCAUAGGUUAAUGAGGCGAACCGGGGGAACUGAAACAUCUAAGUACCCCGAGGAAAAGAAAUCAACCGAGAUUCCCCCAGUAGCGGCGAGCGAACGGGGAGGAGCCCAGAGCCUGAAUCAGCAUGUGUGUUAGUGGAAGCGUCUGGAAAGGCGCGCGAUACAGGGUGACAGCCCCGUACACAAAAGCGCAUGUGCUGUGAGCUCGAUGAGUAGGGCGGGACACGUGGUAUCCUGUCUGAAUAUGGGGGGACCAUCCUCCAAGGCUAAAUACUCCUGACUGACCGAUAGUGAACCAGUACCGUGAGGGAAAGGCGAAAAGAACCCCGGCGAGGGGAGUGAAAAAGAACCUGAAACCGUGUACGUACAAGCAGUGGGAGCACCCUUUGGGGUGUGACUGCGUACCUUUUGUAUAAUGGGUCAGCGACUUAUAUUCUGUAGCAAGGUUAACCGAAUAGGGGAGCCGGAGGGAAACCGAGUCUUAACCGGGCGUUAAGUUGCAGGGUAUAGACCCGAAACCCGGUGAUCUAGCCAUGGGCAGGUUGAAG